UGCAGUUGCCCCUGCUAGUGGACUGACGAAGCUGGGUCAUGUUGCCAGAUUCCUACAUAAGCUCUUCACAUUCCUUGGGAUUUCAGGUCUGGCUCGGCUUGGGGGAGCGGCAUCCGCAAGGGGCUGCUUCGACAAGUAGACUGGGUAGUUUUGCCGAUCCAUCGCCAGCAGUCAUUCAAACUGAGCUAGGCUUCUGACCUGGUUGCAUUGCAUUGUAAUGCAGUUGUAUUGUUUUUUUCUCUCCCCUCAGCAUUGGCCAAUAUUGCUUUUUCAAAAAUAUGAAUACCCUGCGUAGAGUUUUGGUGGUUGCUUGUAAUAAAAAAUUGUAUGGUA